rnacentral:lncRNA from 1 species
GGAGGGAGUGGCAGAAAACGUGAGGUGGGAAUCAAAUCAUGCUGGGCUUUUUGGCCAGCAAACUUGGAAAUCAUGUCUUAGAGAUCAAGGAGCCAAGAGAUGAGACAAGCCUGGGUUCCUAGGUGAUAGGGUGUGGCUGUGUCCCCACCCAAAUCUCGUCUUGAAUUGUAGCUCCCAUAAUCCCCACAUGUUGUGGAGGGACCCUGUGGAAGGUAAUUGAAUUAUGGAGAUUGUGCCUGCAGCCUGGCCUGUUGCCCACAGCGGUCUACCUGCCACACUGGGAAAGAUCGAGCAGAGACAGAGAAGAAAAGGAGGCUCCAUUUUUCAGGCUGCUCUCCCGCAGGCUCAUGUUUUGUGUUCAUGCCAGGCAGAGAACACAAAAUGUUCCAAUAAAUAAGUAUCAAAGGUUAGUGGUGAAAAUGAAGGAGGAGGAGGCAUUGCGUGAAAAACUAAACAUGCAAAAUAUUACACACAAAGAGAACCAAAAUGCAGGUUCACUGGAAAUGAUAGACAAUAUGUUAAAACAAGAGGAGAGAAGAGAGCUGAAAUAAUCAAAUGGAAACACACAAUUUAGGGCUAAGAUCUUGUUGUGUUCAGCCACAAAUGAUGGCCAGCAGUGAGGAAUCUGUGUGUUCUCCACACUCUUCGCUCCUGGGAAGUCAACUCACAUGGACCAUGAUAUCAAUAUCUGCUCCUUCCCCUAAUAUCUGUUUGACCUUGGGUCAGUUACUUAAACUUCCUAAGCCUUAGUUUCUUUGUCUGGAAAAUAGGGAUAGUUAUACCUACCACACAACCACUUUGUAAUGAAUAUGUUGGAAAUUAUAUGCAAAUUGGCUUCCGUUGGUGUUUGGAACAUAGUAGGUUUUUAACUGGAAUAUAAUAGCUACCAUUAUCAGUAUCAUCAUAUUAAUUUAUAUUUCCAUCUUCAGCCCUUAACCCAGGAUCUUCAGUAAAUGUUGAAUUCUCAAAUUUGUUAAAUUCACUUGUCUAUACUAAUAUUUUACUCUAGGUUUCUUAGAAUAUUCUAGAUAAUAUUAUUAUGUAGAAUAUGUUAUGUAAGCUUCAUCUUAUCUGUAAAUAUAGUUUUACUUUUUCCUUUCUAAUUUUUAUGUCGAUUACUUCUUUUUCUUGGCUUAUUGAAUUGGCUAGGAUUCCCGUACAGUGUUGAAUACGUGCAGCAAGACUGCACAUCUUGCCUUGUUCCUGGUCCCACAGAGAGAAUAUCCAGUACUUCACAAUAAGUAUGUGUUAAUUGUAGAUUUUAUUAGAUUGAGGAAGUUCCCUUUCCUUUCAAGUCAGUCUUUUUAUUUUAAACAUGUAUUGAAGUUUUGUCAAAUGUCUUCAUCUAUUGGAAUAAUUAUACAUAUCUCUUUUUUAUUCUGUUAAUAUUACAUUUCAAUCUUCUGUCUACCUAAAAUCCCUAGAAUAAUCUCCAUUUGGCUAUGAUGUGUUGUGCUUUUAUAUAUUACUGAAUUCUAUAUGCCAAUAUUAUUAAAAUUUUCUGUCUUUAUGAGAAA